GCUGGCGUGGCUCAACGGUAGAGCAGCUGAUUUGUAAUCAGCAGGUUGGGGGUUCGAUUCCCUCCACCAGCUCCA
rnacentral:tRNA from 1 species